rnacentral:rRNA from 1 species
UACGUAGGGUGCAGGCGUUAAUCGGAAUUACUGGGCGUAAAGCGUGCGUAGGCGGUUGGCAAAGUCAGCUGUGAAAGCCCCGGGCUUAACCUGGGAAUGGCGGUUGAAACUAGUCGACUAGAAUCUGGCAGAGGGGGGUGGAAUUCCACGUGUAGCAGUGAAAUGCGUAGAGAUGUGGAGGAACACCGAUGGCGAAGGCAGCCCCCUGGGCUGAGAUUGACGCUCAGGCACGAAAGCGUGGGGAGCAAACAGG